GUUUGAGUUCUUCGCUACUUCAAAAUCUAGUAUUUUGGUUGAAACCAAAUGAAUAUAUGCUCAUAUGCCUAUGGUCUUAUGUAUGAAAUAAACAAAAUCUUAUUUAUCAAGUAAAAGUUGGAGAAAAGAUAGAAGGUGGUUUUUUGAGUUUUGACCAAUGAAUAUUUUCACUGUAAAAGUUUGCAUAAAAGAUACCAAUACAAGUAGGAAAAUAAGUUUUUGAGUAUUACCAGAAAAAAAUGAAAUACAGAAAUUGAUAUUUUUAACUCUGACAUAAAUGCUUUGUUUGAGC
rnacentral:lncRNA from 1 species